ensembl:ncRNA F43G6.13 ncRNA
UCCAUCAUAACAUCGUAAUAUCCUGAGUCAAAACCUGCCGAGAUAAGAAUCAACUCUGGUUGAAACUGCUCUAACAUUGUAAGCAACACGUGAUGGAACACGGAAACGUAGUCUCCUUCAGAGUUCAUUGUCCCGUUCAGCGGCACAA